UCCUGAGUCCAACGGGUUGGGAAGGCUAAAGAGGACUGGAUAAAACCCCUUACUUUAUAACAGCUAAUUGCUGCCUGAAACAAGAGCCAGGACAUUGGAGAGGUAGAAGAGGAACUUUUAGGAAGGAGAAUGGGACCAGUAGCUGCGCAGUCUUUGGGAGGGGGAAACGGGAAUUCGGUACCGAGAUCACUUUCCUCUGUGAGAUAAAAGAAGUAUAAGGAAACUGAGGUUCGGAGAGUGGAAGUGACCUGCCCCAGGCCACCCUACUAGUUAAGUGGCAAAACCAGUAUUGGA